UACGGGGGGGGGCAAGCGUUUGUUCGGAAUUACUGGGCGUAAAGGGCUCGUAGGUGGCCAACUAAGUCAGACGUGAAAUCCCUCGGCUUAACCGGGGAACUGCGUCUGAUACUGGAUGGCUAGAGUUUGGGAGAGGGAUGCGGAAUUCCAGGUGUAGCGGUGAAAUGCGUAGAUAUCUGGAGGAAUACCGGUGGCGAAGGCGGCAUCCUGGACCGACAUUGACGCGUGAACGGCGAAAGCUAGGGGAGCAAACGGG
rnacentral:rRNA from 1 species